AUUGAACGCUGGCGGCAGGCCUAACACAUGCAAGUCGAGCGGAUGACGGGAGCUUGCUCCUUGAUUCAGCGGCGGACGGGUGAGUAAUGCCUAGGAAUCUGCCUGGUAGUGGGGGACAACGUUUCGAAAGGAACGCUAAUACCGCAUACGUCCUACGGGAGAAAGCAGGGGACCUUCGGGCCUUGCGCUAUCAGAUAAGCCUAGGUCGGAUUAGCUAGUUGGUGGGGUAAUGGCUCACCAAGGCGACGAUCCGUAACUGGUCUGAGAGGAUGAUCAGUCACACUGGAACUGAGACACGGUCCAGACUCCUACGGGAGGCAGCAGUGGGGAAUAUUGGACAAUGGGCGAAAGCCUGAUCCAGCCAUGCCGCGUGUGUGAGGAAGGUCUUCGGAUUGUAAAGCACUUUAAGUUGGGAGGAAGGGCAGUAAGCUAAUACCUUGCUGUUUUGACGUUACCGACAGAAUAAGCACCGGCUAACUCUGUGCCAGCAGCCGCCGCCG
rnacentral:rRNA from 1 species